rnacentral:rRNA from 1 species
UAGGGAAUCUUCGGCAAUGGGGGCAACCCUGACCGAGCAACGCCGCGUGAGUGAAGAAGGUUUUCGGAUCGUAAAGCUCUGUUGUAAGAGAAGAACGUGUGUGAGAGUGGAAAGCUCACACAGUGACGGUAACUUACCAGAAAGGGACGGCUAACUACGUGCCAG